GACGAACGCUGGCGGCGUGCUUAACACAUGCAAGUCGAACGGAAAGGCCCUGAUAUUGUGGUGUUCUGGAUUGGCGAACGGGUAAGUAAGAGGUGAGCAACCUGCUCUACUUUUUGGGAUAAGUUCACGUAACUGGGGCUAAUAUAGGAUAGGAUCUCCUGCUCCAUGGUGGGGGUUGGAAAGUUGCUGCGGGUGGGGAUGGACUCGCGGCUGAUGAGUUUGUUAGUGGGGUAGUGGCUUGCCAACGAAUUGACGGGUCGGCCGCCUUUGAGGGUGGACGGGCACAAUGCGACUGAGGUACGGCCCAGACUCCUACGGGAGGCAGUGGUGGGGAAUAUUGCACAAUGGGCGGAAGCCGGAGGCGGAGACGUCGCGUGCGGGAUGACGGCCUGUGGGUUGUGAACCGCUUUCGCCUGUGACGAAGCGUGAGUGACGGUAAUGAGUAAAGAAGCACCGGCUAACUACGUG
rnacentral:rRNA from 1 species